GAGAGGACACACCUGCUGUAGUCAUGUGAGCCCUGACACGUCAACAUAUCUUUCCUAGGCUCAACACUUCAGAAGAAAAAGUCCUGAAAGAAAGGCAAAUUUAAACUGACGAGAGAAACCUCUCGAAGCAAAAGGAUAUUUUGCCAACUUAAACAAGCAUCAUGGGACGAGGUGAGAGUGAGGACUGGGAUUAUGAGCCUAAGGAGACAAGGACAACUCAGCCGAAGAAACACGAGGACAAAGAUGACAAAAGCUCAGAGGGUGGAGGCUGUCCAAAGUGCUGCUUGAGGACCAGGGACUGUCUUAUGAGCGCAGAAUGUGGCAGGGCGUUGCAAAUCUCCAGUGUUGUGGCUUUCUGUGGAAUGUGCAUCAGAGCAUGGACAUGAUAAAUUCUACGGGAUCAAGACCUUCAGAACUUCCAUUUAAAUUAUGAAGGAUCAUUCAGUCUUCUGUUUAAGACACUUUUUCAGAUAAUAAAUAAUUUAGUUUAACUUUAUUUUGCUCCUAACUUUAGCAGGUAUUUAAAAAAGAAAUUUUUGCAGUAUUUUUAUUAAAAGUGCUUCUUAAUUUGAUGCUGAGCUAAAUUUGCAUCCUUUUAUCAAACCAUGGAGACAAGCUAGAUAUUUGUUGAGGUUUUAACUACCUUGUAUUAUAGUCUCUUAACUUUGUUUAUGUUUGUAACGUGGUUCAUUGGAAAAAAUUUAAAUCUAGAUA